AAAGGAAUUGACGGGGACCCGCACAAGCGGUGGAGCAUGUGGUUUAAUUCGACGCAACGCGAAGAACCUUACCAAGGCUUGACAUCCUCUGAAUGACCUAGAGAUAGGUAGUUCUCUUCGGAGACAGAGAGACAGGUGGUGCAUGGUUGUCGUCAGCUCGUGUCGUGAGAUGUUGGGUUAAGUCCCGCAACGAGCGCAACCCCUACUGUUAGUUGCCAGCAUUUAAGGUGGGCACUCUAGCAGAACUGCCGUUGACAAAACGGAGGAAGGUGGGGAUGACGUCAAAUCAUCAUGCCCCUUAUGUUUUGGGCCACACACGUGCUACAAUGGCCUGUACAGAGGGAAGCGAAGCCGCGAGGUGAAGCAAACCCCAAAAAGCAGGUCUCAGUUCGGAUUGUAGGCUGCAACUCGCCUACAUGAAGUCGGAAUCGCUAGUAAUCGCAGGUCAGCAUACUGCGGUGAAUACGUUCCCGGGUCUUGUACACACCGCCCGU
rnacentral:rRNA from 1 species